AUCCAUCUGACAAGUCCUAAGUAGAACGCAACGCGCGUCCUGGAU
rnacentral:hammerhead_ribozyme from 1 species